AAAAAAAGGGCAAACAAGGAAACCGAAUUCCCCAAAAAAAGAGACCAUGUUUUCUCCUAUUUAUUUUUUUAAUCUUUCUUGGUACGUUCCUCGGCCUCUUUUUUCUCCUU
rnacentral:ribozyme from 12 species